CGCCCUAUAGCAAAAACCUCUAAAAAAAAAAAUUAGUACAGGAAAACCAGUUUUGGCAAUGAUUUUGUAAACAAGGAGCAAAGACUGUCCUAAGUUGAAAUCACUUUUAAAAGCCCGAACUCCUAGACAGGAUCAAUACACGAGCAGACGGAAUGUGUUCUGUUCACUGAGCACUUCUUACAAGUAUCAGCCAAGCUGGGGGAGAACAUCCUUUACCACCUCAGAGCUGGUUGUGAGCACCCACUCUGGCUAGGGACGAUUCUGUGAACACACCUUGCUGCAAUAUGUAACAAGAUGAAUCUUAACACUCUUGCUUCAUCAUCACAGCUAACCAUCACUCCUUCUGGAAGUCAGUAUUUCCCAAGCAGUGUGCACGGGCCCCUCUCUUCCUGUGACACGCUCCCUUCACAGGCCCUCCCCUUUCACAGACAUCACAUCUCAUCUCCCACCUCCACGCACUCCCUGGAUGAACAAAGUCUCCAAGCCACAGCUGCCGUGUGGGCAGGAUGCCCACCUCCAACACACGCCGUCCACAUCUGCAGAUGAAACUCGAGGAACAACCCGUGGUCCCCACAGACCUCCUGCCACUCUGUAGGUCAGUAAGACUUACAAAUACAGUUAGAGAGAAUGCUAAGUCCUCUCUCCCUAAACAAAGGUCAACAAUGAACUGCUUCUGUUCUCCUUGGGAAAGCAGCCUCCUGUCUGAUCCUGGAGUUUAUGUUUAUGAAAAGACAACCUCUGACAACUGAAUUUUUCACAGACCCGGUCCCUAGAACAGCUGACGGUGGGGAGUUUUUCUCAGUUACAAAUGAGAAGCAACAGCUCAGAAAGGUCGCGGCCUUUUCUUCUUUCUUUUAUUUUUUUUAAGAGGCAUUUUGCCUUAGGGUAUGUGCGCUGUGUGUGUGUGUGUGUGUGUGUGUGUGUACCAUAGACAGAGAGGGAAUGGUGAAAAAUCACCAUCCCCCAGGGGACGGGGAUGGCCGUGCUCCAAUGCCGUUUCCUCUUCUGUCUCCAGGAUCUCGGGCACCCACGUGCACAUGCACACGCACCAGUAUGAGUUUCAAGUCACCAGGUCUGAGACUUGAACCAUGGUCAGCCAUGUGGGAGUCCAGCGAUAUAACCACUAUGCCAUCUGCUGGGCCCCAAGGCCUUUUUAACGUGGUCUUGCUGGGACUUGAACCUGCCUUGAACUACUAGUAUUCGGCUUUUGAAAUCCUAGCAGGUAAAUUCUUCUGAAGGAAAAUAUCAAACAUCACCAACAACGGAGAACUCUAUUUGCACACAUAAGGACAGCCCCAUGCUCCCGUCCUGGUGGGGGUUUUUCUCAGGAAGAAAAACAGGUCUCUUUACCAUGUGGCUUAUUUUUGCACACUGAAGGGCUUUUGAUCAGAGUGACAGGGUUUCUAAAGCCCCAGACUCAGAGUCCCAAGACUGGUUUGUUUGAGUGGAGGUGAGGAGGCCCUGUCUUCUCAGCCUCUCUGAGCUGUUGCUUUCUCAUUAGUAACUGGGUUUCAAGGGGGCAAGGCCUGUUGAAGUGUUUUGUUAAACAAAAGGAAGGAGAGAACUCGCACAGCAGCCUGCAGAACCAGGCACUUGGCAGGAAGGAGGUCCACUUGUUGGUUUUUAUCACAGACCUGGCCAUCGUCAGCCCUAGCUAACUAAUGAGCUCCUCAGUGGUGGGGUUUCCCCGUAUUUGACUUUGGGGAAAUUCCCGUGCUCUCAAUAAUCAGUUAAAAACAUGCAUUUCAGAAAACCUCCUGUUGAUCGAACUUCCUCAGGUUUGAGAUAAGCCCUGCUGGCUUCCCAUCUUAAAGCGGAAAUGGAAAAUGCAGGCAGUCAGGCAGAAGGCAGUCUGCCCAUGUCCGCAGCCGUAAGCGGCUCUCGUAGGUUGCUGUUCUGUGGGCAGAGCCCCUGGGCCCCAACAGCGGCUCUGCAGCCAUGGACAUGCACAGGGUGAAUGCCCUGGUCACCGGGGCUGAUGCCCAACUUUAAAAGAAGCUCUGUGACUUGUAGGGCGGUUGAUCCAUUCCUUCCCAGGGGUCGUCACAUACCCAGGGCUCUACAGAGAGAAUGUUAGAAAGAUAAAGAUCCGGUGCUGCCCUGACCACCAGACCAGUUGGCUCCACAGCCCCCAUCAGCAGCUCUGCUCCCUCCCACCUCCAGGUCAGACCUGGGAGUAACGCCUUGGGUUUGAGAAGCCAGACAUUUGAGAGCCCUCCAAUUUUGCCUUUGGUUGCUCCUUUUGUCUCUUGAGCCAGCUGCUGCCCCCCCUCGAGUUUCUGGCCUGGUCAGUGGCUCCUCCUGACACCUGUGGCUCUGACUCGGAUGCCCUCGCCAUCUCUUGGGAGCUCCCUGGCUGGGCUGGCCUUCCAGCUCCUACAGCUGGCUUGUGGACCAGCUGGAUAAACCUGAGCCACAGUCUGUUCAGUUUCACCUCACGCUUGGGGUCAGCUCGCCGUGUGCACCAGGCAUUGUGCUUGGCACCUCACAAGCAUCCUGGGUUUUACUGUCUGUUCAUCCAGGAGGAAACUGGCUUGAAGAGGCUAGGGAGUUGCUCCCAAGUGGCCUCCCACGUUACUCCCAAGGAUCCAAAUGAAUCCUGCUACCAGGCUGUCUAGGCCCGUACCUGACUCAGCUCACACCAACAGGAUCAGAGUGACAGUCGGCACAAGUCGGCAGCCCGAUGGCCCUCCUUCCCCCACCUGUCCCCUCCCUGUCAGUGCACCCUACAAGGAGCCACCUCUCUGGGCACCACCAUCUCUCCUUACCCAUCCUCUCGGGGCUCUCAAAUAAGGGAGAACCCGCCAGCGAGCAAAUCGUAUGACAGACACUUUAGAACACAGUGAAGCAGGGAAGGAAGACGGGAGUCCCGGCCAGCACCGGCAGGCCCCGGGGCCUCACCUCUUCCUCCAAGCUGCCUGGCGUGGGACCUGGGAAUGCAACGCUGCAGCCACCCAGCUCACUGUCAGGUGCACUGGGUAGAACGUCCUGGCUAAAGAAGUGGAGCACGCACCAGUCUCGUGUUGAUCAUCCACCAGACACAGAAGCCGUGGCCGCAGCCCUGUGCAGCCGUGUCUCCUUUCUGCCCUUACGCAAACCAAUCAAAACAAGGACGAAGGCACAAACUCCAAACUGCCUUUCUCUGACAAGGCCCCAGGCUGCCUUCAAGCUGUCUUCAAGCUGUCAUCAAGAAUGCCCGUUCACCUCUGAGUGAGUUACUGGCGGCUGUUUGCGGCGAACACAGAGACUAGAUCUGUUUGCAAAGUGUCCUAUUGUAUCCAACAACAGCAGCCAGGGAGAAGUCUUUCAGUGAAGUGUUUCUU